GGUUUCGUGGCCCAAUGGCAAGGCGUCUGACUACGAUUCGAUACCAAAAGGAAAUCUCGAACCUUACCUGAGUUCGAGAGAAGUUUGUGUUGAGGAUAAGUGUAAUCAGGAGAUUCUGGGUUCGACCCCCAGCGAGAUCA